GGGGAAUGCCUUGGCUCUCAGAGGCGAAGAAGGACGUGUUAAGCUGCGAAAAGCUGCGGGGAGUUGCACAAAAGCUGUGAUCCGCAGAUAUCCGAAUGGGGCAACCCAGCUGGUUGAAGACCAGUUACCAUUUAAUGGAGCGAACCCGGGGAACUGAAACAUCUAAGUACCCGGAGGAGGAGAAAACAAAAGUGAUUCCGAUAGUAGCGGCGAGCGAAAUCGGAUUAGUCCAAACCGUACAUGUUCCGGCAUGUGCGGGGUUGUAGGACCACGACAUUCGAGAUGUGAUGAACUAGAACGCUUUGGAAAUAGCGGCCAUAGAGGGUGAUAGUCCCGUAUAGGUAAAGAGCAUUUAGAUAGUGGUAUCCUGAGUAGUGCGGGGCACGUGAAACCCUGUAUGAAUCCGGCGGGACCAUCCGCCAAGACUAAAUACUCCUGAGAGACCGAUA
rnacentral:rRNA from 12 species